rnacentral:lncRNA from 1 species
UUCUUUUGUCUCGGUUAAUGUAACCGUUGAGAAUCCGCUCUCACAUAAAUAAGUGGAUACGCUAAAAUUCAAACUCAAACUUUUAUAGGAGAUCGUUUUCUUUUCUUCGCGGAACUCCGAAAAUUCGUUCGCGGAACUCCAGGAUUCCGUGGAACACAGUUUGAGAAACGCGGCUCUAGACUAUAAGAAAUCUCAUAGUAUCGUAGUUACAAAAUUUCCUUACAAUGGAGAAGAAAUAAAAAUAUAAACAACAUUUUUGUCUCAUUCUGACCCACUCUCCCCUACUACAGUUUUGGCUGGGGUUUCUCUACCGCUCAGAAAAACGUCAGCAAAUAGUGUAUGGCCAGUCUGCCGGAUGGGCCGCGUGGAAACGCCUCGGUCCUCCACCCUGGAAGCCGGGUUCGAGUCUCGGAUCCCACCCCUUGAAAAUAUUUAUUAUGGAGUCCUGGUCCGGCCCAUCGAUCCCGUCCUCCACCCUCCGACCGACCCUUCCACCGGGGUGAGCAGCCGGUGGAAGGAUGGUUUCGCCCGUCACUUACUGAGAGGAAAGUGGCGUCACUUUUUGUUGACUAAAAAAAUACCGUAUGGCCGUAUUCCGUUUACUACCUCAAGCAUUUAAUUAAUUAGUUUGGGUUGGCCAUCCGGCAGCCCAAU